AGUGAACGCUGGCGGUAGGCCUAACACAUGCAAGUCGAACGGCAGCACAGUAAGAGCUUGCUCUUACGGGUGGCGAGUGGCGGACGGGUGAGGAAUACAUCGGAAUCUACUUUUUCGUGGGGGAUAACGUAGGGAAACUUACGCUAAUACCGCAUACGACCUACGGGUGAAAGCAGGGGAUCUUCGGACCUUGCGCGGUUGAAUGAGCCGAUGUCGGAUUAGCUAGUUGGCGGGGUAAAGGCCCACCAAGGCGAGGAUCCGUAGCUGGUCUGAGAGGAUGAUCAGCCACACUGGAACUGAGACACGGUCCAGACGCCUACGGGAGGCAGCAGUGGGCAAUAUUGGACAAUGGGCGCAAGCCUGAUCCAGCCAUACCGCGUGGGUGAAGAAGGCCUUCGGGUUGUAAAGCCCUUUUGUUGGGAAAGAAAAGCAGCAGGUUAAUACCCCGCUGUUCUGACGGUACCCAAAGAAUAAGCACCGGCUAACUUCGUG
rnacentral:rRNA from 1 species